AACGCAUAUUGCACUCUCUGGUAAUCCGGGGAGUAUGCCUGUUUGAGGGUCAGUAAAUAAUAAUUAUCAUAAUCUUUUGAUUGUGGAAUUGGGCUUUUAUUUCAUUUUAAUGAUUUAUGGCCUUAAAUUUAUGUUACCGCUUGUUUAAUAUGAAAUUCGACCGAAUGGAGCAAUUAAACAUUCUCUCGUUAGGCGGAUUCAUCAAGCAAUUACGAUUUUUUGGCCGUCGAAGCACUUUUUUUUUAGAAGUGCUUGGUCGAGAUUGUAAGAUACAUUUUUAACAAUGACCUCAAAUCAGGCAAGAAUACCCGCUGAACUUAA
rnacentral:misc_RNA from 1 species